UGGGGAAUCUUCCGCAAUGGACGAAAGUCUGACGGAGCAACGCCGCGUGAGUGAAGAAGGAUUUCGGUUCGUAAAACUCUGUUGUUAGGGAAGAAAAAAUGUAUAGUAACUAUAUACAAAAGAGACGGUACCUAACCAGAAAGCCACGGCUAACUACGUGCCAGCAGCCGCGGUAAUACGUAGGUGGCAAGCGUUGUCCGGAAUUAUUGGGCGUAAAGCGCGCGCAGGUGGUUUAGAAAGUCUGAUGUGAAAGCCCACGGCUCAACCGUGGAGGGUCAUUGGAAACUAAUAAACUUGAGUGCAGGAGAGAAAAGUGGAAUUCCUAGUGUAGCGGUGAAAUGCGUAGAGAUUAGGAGGAACACCGGUGGCGAAAGCGGCUUUUUGGCCUGCAACUGACACUGAGGCGCGAAAGCGUGGGGAGCAAACAGG
rnacentral:rRNA from 1 species